rnacentral:rRNA from 1 species
UAACCUGCCCAGUGAUAGGGAGUAUUUAACGGCCGCGGUAUUUAUGACCGUGCAAAGGUAGCAUAAUCAUUAGCUUUUUAAUUGGAGGCUUGUAUGAAAGGUUUGACAAGGGAAAUACUGUCUCUUAAAUAAAAAUUGAAUUUAACUUUUAAGUGAAAAGGCUUAAAUAAUUCAGAGGGACGAUAAGACCCUAUAAAGUUUUAUAAAGGGUAAGUUUUUACUAAUGAUUUAAAAGAAUAAGAUUUUACUAUAUUUAUUAGGUUGGGGCAACUAAAGUAUAAUUGUUAUUAAUUGCUUAUGAAUUAAAAUACAAAUAUAUUUGUUUAAAAUUAAAUGAUCCUUUAAUUAAUUUUAAUAAAGAUUAAAAGAUUAAAUUACUUUAGGGAUAACAGCGUUAUUUUUUUUGAGAGUUCUUAUUGAAAAAAAAGUUUACGACCUCGAUGUUGAAUUAAAAUUUCUAUAUGGUGCAGUUAUCAUAUAAGAAGGUCUGUUCGACCUUUAAUGUUUUACAUGAUUUGAGUUCAGACCGGUGUAAA